AUCUUUCUAGUAUUAAAGCUAGUAUAAGUGACUUCCACUCACCCGGUCUUGGUUUAACUCCAAGGAAAGAUA
rnacentral:tRNA from 1 species